CUGCCUCGAUAUAUCCCUCGCCGAACAGACCUGGACACUCACUCAAAAAUCUAGGGUUUCCAUCGGCACCGCAGACGGCUGAGAUUUCGGAUCGAGGGUUCUAUUUCAUCGAUUACGAAAAGGCUUUGCAAUGAUGAAAUCUUGAAAAAGGACGAUGAGUGAUUGGAGCGUCGUCUCCAGUGUGAUAUCUCUUAAAACUGCAAAGGAUUUCUGAGCAAAGAUUGUAGCUCUAAUUAUUAGAAGAAAAACGAAGAGCUUUACAGAUCUGACGUUUUUUAUCGAUCAGUGCUUCGGGUGUUCCUCGGAGUCAUCGGACUGAGUUCGCAAGCUCCGUGUGUUGUGGAAGCGAAGAUAUAGAGGGCGAUAGCGAUGGACCCGAGGACGGACAAACUAAUACGGCGCACCGCCAUGGCCGGCACCGUCACCGCCGCUUACUUCCUCAUCACCGCCGACUACGGUCCUCAAGACCACGCUCUCCUCGCUAUUACGAGAGCUAUCAAAUCCAUGGAAUCAUCUCUUAAGAGGUUUGUAUUUGGCUCAGGAGAUGGGACUCGAGAGAAUGAGGAAGAUGUACAUUCAAAAUAGUGAUCUUGGCUGCCUAAAUCAAGCAAGAGCAACUCUGGUCAUCAGGUCUGUUUAUUAUAUUGCCUGUAGCACUUAAUACAUGAAUGUAAAUAGCCAUGGUUUUAAGUGUCUUAUGAACUCUCUACUUCCUCACAAGCAAAUAGAGACCUCUUUGGGAAUCCAUUUGAUUUAGUAUUAGUUCAAAGUUUGGUUUCCUGUGGCAUCUUGAAAAUUUAGGUACAGGUUAUAUGUUGUACUUUGUGAUUUCCCCUCUUA